CCCUCCCGCCAGAUCUGGCGGAGGGGAGGGCAUGGCCACCGCCACUCCACUGAGGUGCGCCGCCUCCCCUCCUGCCGGAUCUGGUGGAGGGA
rnacentral:pre_miRNA from 1 species